rnacentral:rRNA from 1 species
GAACGAGAGAAGAGAAGCUUGCUUUUCUGAUCUAGUGGCGGACGGGUGAGUAACACGUGAGCAAUCUGCCUUUCAGAGGGGGAUACCGAUUGGAAACGAUCGUUAAUACCGCAUAAUAUAAUUGAACCGCAUGAUUUGAUUAUCAAAGAUUUAUCGCUGAAAGAUGAGCUCGCGUCUGAUUAGCUAGUUGGUAAGGUAACGGCUUACCAAGGCGACGAUCAGUAGCCGGACUGAGAGGUUGAUCGGCCACAUUGGGACUGAGACACGGCCCAGACUCCUACGGGAGGCAGCAGUGGGGAAUAUUGCACAAUGGAGGAAACUCUGAUGCAGCGAUGCCGCGUGAGGGAAGAAGGUUUUAGGAUUGUAAACCUCUGUCUUCAGGGACGAAAAAUGACGGUACCUGAGGAGGAAGCUCCGGCUAACUACGUGCCAGCAGCCGCGGUAAUACGUAGGGAGCGAGCGUUGUCCGGAAUUACUGGGUGUAAAGGGAGCGUAGGCGGGAUCGCAAGUCAGAUGUGAAAACUAUGGGCUUAACCCAUAAACUGCAUUUGAAACUGUGGUUCUUGAGUGAA